UAGGUCACAAACAUCAUCGAGGGUAUUUAGGCCCAAUAGUUUGUAAAGGAGCCGUGGAGACUGACGGAGUUACUGAGUCGGACGGAUCUGUGACCCGUGAGGUCACACAGGGAAGGAUUAGUAGAACCACGAGGUGUUAGUCGUCCUCCUGUUAAUACGUUGAAAAUCCACAAUGUACUUUGUCUCAAAAAAAAAAAGAAUGAAGCUGAGUUAGCGUUUAUUUAAAUUCUAUGCAUAUCUGGUCAUCGAGGAGAACAGAAUGAAAGAUUUAAGAGAAUCAUUUGCAGUUGUAUGAUGUGCAUUAUGUGAUGCUUAAUGUGCUAGAAAACCAGCAGGGCUCCUUUCCCAUUUGAAUCAUAGUUUUAUUCUGAAGCACUUUCUGAAGCGGAAUUAUAACUAGUACGUGAAUAGCUGUAGCCGCCAAACGCUGUGUAUCUCAUUUCACUAUUAACUUAACCGGGUUCCGAUGCGUCUCAUUCAUCCGUCUCACGAACGCUCUUCCGCAUCGCUCUUUUGUCAGUUUGGAUUCACUCGUUUUACCCGAGGGGCCCGGCCCCUCCCCAACCAGCACCUCCGCCCAGCUGGAGGAGAUGGAGCCUCGCCUGCUGGAGUUUGAGGCGGACUCGCCCAACUGGAGGGACCUCGCGCCCCCCGACGGCCUGUCCCGGCUCAGCAAAAAGGAGACCAAGAGGCAGGAGGUCAUCAAUGAGUUGUUCGCCACGGAGCACGCCCACGUGCGCAUGCUGAGUGUGCUGCAGAUGAUCUUCUCCAAGCCCCUGGAGAGGGAGGAGCUGCUGACCGCCACCGAGUUGGCCGCCAUCUUCCCGAACCUCGACGAGCUCAUUGAGAUGCACUACAACUUCUACGAGAACCUGAAGAAACUGCGUGUGGAUGACAACUUCAUCGUGAAAUCCAUCAGCACCACGGUGCUCAACAGAUUUGGAGGUACGGAGGGCGAUUGGUUCCAGAAAUUGACGGCCCGGUUCUGCAGCCACCAGUCCUGGGCCUUGGACCAGAUCAAGAGCAGGCAGAAGAAAGAUCCGCGCUUCAACGCCUUCAUACUGGAGGCCGAGAGUAAGCGCCAAUGCCGCAGGCUGCAGCUCAAAGACAUCAUUCCCAUCGAGAUGCAGAGGCUGACCAAAUACCCGCUGCUGCUGGAGAAUAUUGCCAAGAGCACAGAGGACCCGACGGAGAAGGAGAGGAUCCAGCAGAGCGCAGAGUGCUGCAGGAGGAUCCUCAACCAUGUCAACGAAGAGGUCAAGGAGAUGGAGAACCUAUUGACUCUGAAGGACUACCAGCGUAGACUGGACACGUCGGGCCUUAAACCCAGCACUUCCCUUUAUACAGAAUACAAGAACAUCGACCUGACUCAGAGGAAGAUGCUGUACGAAGGCCCAGUGACCUGGAGAGUCACUAAGGAGAAGGCAAUCGAGGUGCAGUGUGUGCUGCUCGGGGACAUGCUGGUGCUCCUCCAGAAGCAGGACGACAAGCUGGUGCUGAAGUGUCACAGCAAGAGCAACCUCGCCCCGCAGGAGGUCAAGCAGAUGCUGAGCCCCAUCAUCAAGCUCAACUCCGUCUUCCUCCGGGACGUGGCCACAGAUCGGAAGGCCUUCUAUGUGAUCUUCACUUGGGACAGCGGGGCUCAGAUCUACGAGUUAGUGGCUCAAUCUCUUGGAGAAAAGAAGCUCUGGACCGAGGUGAUAAAGUCCACGGUGGAUGAUCUGAAGAAGGGAGGAGGGCUCCGGUUGACGCUGCCUCCUGGAGGUGGAGGAGUUCUCAGUCCCACCGCGUACGUGCUGACCGCCCCUUUGAGUCCGAGUGAGAACGGCGGUUUGAAAAGCAGCAGCGGCGAUCCAGAUAAGGACGUCUUGACCGACGACAAGUCCUCGGACCCCCGGCACAGGCUGAUUGAUUUCCUGUCAGACAAAGGCUUCGACCUGAUUGGCCACUCCACCAGCGACCGGGAGAACGUGGCCAGCAGCGCUCUGGACCAAGUCAUGUCCCUGAAGAGGCUGGUGGUCGGCAGCAUCAGCCUGUCAGAAGACUCGCAGCAGGCGGAGAAGCCCGGUCAGGAGAUGGACGCCUGUCAAUCGACGGGUGAUCUUCUGUGUGAAGCCAAAGAAGAAAGCCGGACCACGGACACGGGAGCCGUGGAGGAGGAGGAGGAGGAAGAGAAGGAGGAGAAGAAGGACGACGACGACAACAACUCCUGUGAAGGAGAAAGCGCGGGGACGACGAAGGAGGAGGAGGAGGAGGAGGAGGAGGAGGAGAGGAGCAUCAGCGCGCCCCUCGUGCUGUCCCCGGAGAGGAUGGAUGAAGUGUGCAGGAGGCUCCUCAGUCUGGAGGAACAACUAAAGAGCUUACAGACUGUGGAAGAGGAGCACCACAGGCUGCAGGAGGCCCUCUCCGAGUUCUCCCUGGAGGGGGGCAACUUCCAGUGAGGCACCACGGCGCCACCUGCCGGCCACUAGGUGCAUUUAUAACUGUGUGAUUAAAGGAUCGGACAUUAUUACUGGUGCUAGCUGGGGGUGCAAAGCGUAACUUUCAGAAGCUUCCCCGGAGACGCCUGAUGAAGUCCCGCCUGGACCCUCGGCUGCAUUCGGGGGCUUGAUGCUCAGUGCAGUGGUGCAGUGAUGUGACAUGAGAAGGUGUCUGCAUGUGAACGUGUGUCUGAACGUGUGUGUGUGUUGGUAGAGAGGGAAACGGACAUCCUACUUUUGAGUGGAAGAUUGUUUUUGCAGGACCCAAAAGUGCCAAAAGAAUCUAAAGCAAUAUUUUGCUGUGAGAGAGAGAUGCAGCCAACAACAAAAUGUAGUGAUUGUAAUCUGCUGUAACACACAUACACACGCCAGAAAGCAAUGGAUAUCAUUAGCAGAUGAAGUUAGUGCAGUAAAGGAGGAAUCCUAUGCCAAGUAUAGCUGGCUAUAAGCUAUUAACAGGUUUCAAAUACUACUGCUGAUAAAGUUAUUUCUAAUCUAUGCCAAAGUACCACCGACAUGCACUUUUUUCUGAUGAAACUAAGUCAAAAUCACACUGUUUUUGAUAAACGUGUUGACUCUAUUCAGAUUGGCUUCAUGUAUGCGGGAGAUUUCCUGCAAGAAAGUGUGUGUACGUGUGUUACAAAGUUUUAAAUCAACGUGUGCUUGUUUGCAGGGUUCUCGCUGUGAUUUGUGUCACGCAGAGACGUUCAUAAAUAGUCUCACUAUAAGUAAACCCUGCUGUCAAUAACGGUGAUAACGGUCUGUUUUUACCGCUUUUAUUUAUUCCGACGAGUCAGUGAGUUCAGACAAAGUGUUCCAGCCCAAAGAAUAAGUAAAUAUAGAGCUGCCAACGUCAGAAAGCAAACCUGCAACGUGUAACAGGGAUUAAGGUGGAGCGUGAAGACGGAGGCCCGGAGGAAUGUGGAGGGUUCAGAGGCGCCUCGGCUUGGCUGGAUGGAUCAUGAGACGUGUGUAGAAAACAAGAGAGGAUUUGUAGUGAACAAACACACGCGCGCCUACAAACGCUGAGCCAAAGUACCACACGAGUGUUCACGAAGGUCCUUUUUGCAGCUCCACCUUUCCCCAAAUCCACAGCUCCCGACUUAAGAUGCCGUUACGUACCGUUGGUUGCACAUGUUUUAGAUUCUUCUCUGGUAGCAACCGUUGUAUCAAAACUGAGCACUGUCUUUGUAUUUUAUUCAGAAGUCGAUUGUAAUUCUAAUGAUGAUGAUGAUUUAAUGCCGUCGUAGUGGCACAACUGGCCAACAUGCACGCCGCACCAAAGACCAGACCAACUCUGCUGGCGGAAUGCUAAUGCUAAUGCUAAUGCAGCAACUGCUUUUCCUCUCCUCCAACUCCAGCGAGGGCAACUUGAGGGAAGGGAUUUGAAAAAGCACAAAAAAGAAUGUUACAGCCGCCUUUUUAGAUAAACGUAGAUACGGAGCUGAAGAGCGUUCGACCUCCGUGGCCUUGAUGCCAGACCGCCGAGCUGUGAUUUCCUUGCACACACGUAGGAGUGAUGGAAGCUUUGUGUUGACCCGGAGGACCGUUUGGUGAGCACGUGAUUGGACCUGUCCCAGCUGCCAAGGAAACGAGACGAGGAUGCAAAGGAAACGUCGAAGGAAGACUCUGUCAGCGUCCCUCUGGCCACCAUCGCUUCCUGAUUCAUUCUCUCGCCCGUUGUCUCAGCGGUGCCAUUAGCCGUUGCUUACGUUCCCCCCCCCGUGUCUUCUUCUUGUAAAAUGUACAUAGAUCUUAGCUUGAAAGAUUUUUUUAGAGUCCGUAUAAGUUAGUGCCCCCUUUUUUUGUACUGAUCUUAUUGGCUGAAACACUUGUGAUGGCAUGUUCACCUUUCCCUACUGCACACCUUUCACCACAUGUUGUAUUACAUUUGAUUUACUUAAGCGGCUCGGGGGAGGGUGUGUUCUUUGUUUUUACAAUUUGUCGUUGUUCUCCAUCAAGCUUCUUCAUUAUGUACUUUGCAUUUGGCAGCAACGGUGCGAGAAACUCGUUAAUGCAUGAAUGAAUUUCACAAUUAUGCAAACAGUGUGACCGUGUUGUGUCUGUUUUUUUUGCCUUUUUGUGCGCACGCUGAAGCACAAACCUCCUCUGAACUGAGGCCAUCCAGCCUUCUGCUGGGAUACAUCAGAAUCGUCUACCUGCAUUGAUCAGCAGGAUGAAACCCACUAAGACCAGCCGACAGUCAGGCCUCCGACUGGCUGAACUCUGGUCCUGAUGCGUUUCCUCGUGCAUUCUAUAUACAGAUACCUAGAUGUAUAGAAAAUGUAUUUAUAGUGGUGCCUUGUUCCAAUGAUCAACUUGUUUUGGGCGGUUAUUCACGGGACGACUGUAGCGGUAAAGUGUUUCUGUGGCCUGGAUGGAAAACUGCCUUCCUGUCUAUAAACAACCAAUAUGCAAGAACUAUACUGUGUAUUUGGGUUUUGAUUUUCUUUUCUUUUUUAAAUCAAGAGGAUUUUUAUUGAUGUAUACUUAAGAAAAUUGUGGUACGUUCUGUUUUUUAAUUCUUCAUUUUUUUAAAUAAAUUGGGGAAAUAAA